UUCCAGAUAGGAAUAUAGGAUUCACCUUACACUCAGAAACAGGGGGAUAGGCCUAGUUGUUCAAAAUACACGGCGUUGCUGCAUGGACUUGAAGAGAUAGUUAUGAAUUUAGAAUAUCAUCAAGUGACUUAAAAUUAAUAAGGCACUGUUUUCAGUGGAUGAACCGACAUCAUGCAGUGUGACAGGAAAACGCCCGUGAGACAACAGAUGGCUUAGAUAAAAGGGAAGACGAUGCAGAAGCCUCUGUACCAGAGAAAAAUCCAGAGAUGGCCCUCAAAGAAGUUAGAAACAAGAUGACUCAUCUGAGACCGUCUCAAGUUGUUUAGGUCUGGAGCCACCUUCCCCCACCCACGAGUCGAAGAAAUAGAUCUUUGAACCAGGUUACCCGUGACAUCAAGAUAAACAAAAUUCAACUUCAGGGACAAUUUGAUAAUAUCUGAUUAAAAUUUUUUUUUAGCUCACCUGGGCCGAAGGUUCAAGUGAGCUUUUCUGAUCAAAAUUUGUUCAUUGUCUGUCGUCGGCGAAAACUUUUCACAUUUUCAUCUUCUCCAGAACCACUGGGUCAAUUUCAACCAAACUAAGUGACACAAAGCACCUUUGGGUGAAAGGCUUUCAAGUUCAAAUGAAGAGCCAUGCCCCUUCAAAGGGGAGAUAAUCGCAAAAAUACGGUGGGGUCAUUCAAAAAUCUUCUCAAGAACCACUGGGACAGAGAAGCUGAAAUUUACAUGAAAGCCUCCUGACAUAGUACAGAUUCAAGUUUGUUAAAACCAAUGACCUG